rnacentral:rRNA from 1 species
UACGUAGGGCGCGAGCGUUUGUCCGGAAUUAUUGGGCGUAAAGAGCUCGUAGGCGGCCUGUUGCGUCUGCUGUGAAAUCCCAGGGCUUAACCCUGGGCCUGCAGUGGAUACGGGCAGGCUGGAGGCAGGCAGGGGAGAACGGAAUUCCCGGUGUAGCGGUGAAAUGCGCAGAUAUCGGGAGGAACACCGGUGGUGAAGGCGGUUCUCUGGGCCUGUUCUGACGCUGAGGAGCGAAAGCGUGGGGAGCGAACAGG